CUCUUAAUUUCCUGUGGAAUACAUUGACUCCCGCGAAGGCAAAAUUUGCCUAACUCUCAUGCCCUAGCUAGCUUGUCCUCUGCCACCAUUCACCGCCAACUACUCACCACAGCCAUCCAUCUUCUCCAUGAAUCCUUCAAUCCGAAAAGUUCUCCUAGAACGAUUUUGCCAGACCUCAACGUGGAUAUUCAUUCCCCCACUCGAGCCCCCUUAUUAGAUGGUUUAAUCAAACUACCUGAGUUUUAAUGCGGUUCUUGGCCACCUAGUUGCUGACUCUCCCUUGUGAGGCCGCAGUGGAGGGCACUAAACAGAACCUCUGAAAUUAUCAUUCAAUGGUGUGGCCAUGUCCAACGGUUCUGGGGCAAAUCCUGUUAUAAGCAUUAUCUUGAUAGUGAGAUAAAGUUGACAAGUGAUUACCCUUCAACACAUUUGUAAGAGACUAAGAUCUUACUCUAGAGUACCUCUGAUAUUUGUUACCUAAUGUGCAACUAUUCCUCAUUCCAGAUGAGGGAGGCAUUAGGUAAUGACUCGUACAUUAAAGGCAAAAAUGAUGAUUUGAUUGACUUGUAUGCACUGGAAGAUGUCUCAGCAAGUUUUCAAAAUGAGGAAACUAAACCAAAAUGGUCAAAUGUACAAGUCAUUAUCUGUUGAGAUAUUGUUGAAGCAUUAGUUUGCACAAGAGAUUGGUUAUAUGGCGAGUAAAGUAACGUUAUUUUUAUUUUAUUAAAUAAUUUAUUUUCAUGCUUGCAAUAGAAUAAUUUUAUUUGACAUAAAACUUAUUGAUGCCAUUUUUUUUAAUAGAAACACAAAGAAUGAAAUUAAACGAGCUAACUAAAGAUGUUAUGGAGUUGAAUAUCAACAAGAGCAAAGAGGAUGCUCACUUCCUUCUUCAAGUUCUAAAAAUGUUUAGAUUUAUGU